rnacentral:rRNA from 1 species
UGCAGUAAUAUAACUGUACAAAGGUAGCAUAAUCAUUAGUUUUUUAAUUAAAAGCUUGUAUGAAAGGUUGGACGAAGUAAAAUCUGUCUCUUUUUAAUAUAAUUAGAAUUUAAUUUUUAAGUAAAAAAGCUUAAAUUUAUAUAAAAGACGAGAAGACCCUAUAGAGUUUAAUAAUUAAUUUUAAUUAAUUAAUUUAGAUUUAUUUAUUUUAUUUUUUAUAUAAUUAUUUUAUUGGGGUAAUAAAAAGAUUAAUAUAAUUCUUUUUUUUAUUUUACAUUGAUAUAUGAUUAAAAUGAUCCAUUUUUAUGAUUAAAAGAUUAAAUUACCUUAGGGAUAACAGCGUAAUUUUUUUAAAGAGUUCUUAUCGAUAAAAAAGUUUGCGACCUCGAUGUUGGAUUAAAGAUUAAUUUAGGUGUAGAAGUUUAAAUUUUUGGUCUGUUCGACCAUUAAAUCUUUACAUGAUCUGAGUUCAAACCGGUGUAAGCCAGGUUGGUUUCUAUCUUUAUAAAAUUUUUAUAUUUUAGUACGAAAGGACCAAAUAUUUAAUAUAUAAAUAUUUAAUUAUUUUGAAUAU